CUGGCCGUGUUAGGCUUCGCUGGCGUAAAGUCCCCGGGAGCUUUGCCCCUCACGGAGAACGUUAGUUGACCCUGAUGGGGACCCGUAGGGUAAAGGUUUUGUUUUUGUUUUUUUUUACGGAAAAGGUUGUGGUUAGGCCCCUUGGAAAGUUGCGACAAAACUCGAGUUAGACAAGGAAGGUCGGAACUAAGUGGCCACAGCAACAAUGCACCAGCAAGCAGGGAGCGUGAUAGGAAGAGCUAAAGAGGAAUCGGGAAACCCUGGGUAAAAGUCGUCCAAGUGGAACUUCCUUUGGUCGGGGGUCUGAUACUCGAAGGAAACGGUCUUUCACUUCUGGGUUAGGGCGUCCGCCCAGAGGGCGACUGCAAUGAAGGAAAUUGUGCCCUGCGACUUCCCGUAACAGAGCUGUGUGUCCACGCUCCCUUUUCCGAGCAGGCGCGGACGCUUGUGCCGGAAGUAAACUUGUUAACGGUUCUUUGCCUUUUGGGGAGGGGAGACAGCCCAGAGAAGGCUUUGGAGACCCUUGAGUCGGCCAGCGAGCAGGGUUUCUUACUUGAGCGCCUCCACAAAUAAACGCUCCUUCGCUCCUCCGUCGCGUGCGUUUCCCUGGGAUAAUAAGUGGGAAAGUGGUGGCUUUUAUUUUUUUGAGACAGGGUCUCACCGCCGUCGCCCAGGCCGGAUGGAGUGCAGUGGCGCGAUCACGGCUCACUGCAGCCUCGACUUCCCAGGCUCAGGGAUGGGUUUCACCAUGUUUCCCAGCCUUGUCUCAAACUCCUGACCUCAAGUGAUCCGCCGUCUUGGGUCUUCGAAAGUGCUGGGACAGCAGGAGUGAGCCACCGCAUCUGGCCCGGAAAGUGUUUUGGAGCGUAGAAAAAUGCAAAUUAUAGGGCUGCCUUCAAGGAUCCCGAAGGACCCACAGAUUUGCCGCAUCAGGCUCCUAUGCACGCCGGUAAUUUGAUGUGUUGAGAUGCACUGCCCAGUGCGUUGUUUUUACUGGAGGAGCUUGUGUGCGGAGCUCCUUGCUAGUGUAUGUGUUGGGAUGGGAGAGAAGUGCGGGAGAACUAUGAGAUAAUGCCCCCUGAUCCUCAGGGUCUUAGGAGGUAUGGUCGGAGAGGCUAAGCUAAAGUAUGAAAGCCGUGUGUAGGCCCUUCUGUGUAGUGCAGAAAAGGUAGAGGUAUGUGAUUUGAAAGAGUAGGGAUGACAUGGAGGAUGCGACUCCUGGUUGGAUCUAUAAACUAAUGUCUUUGGAACGAAAGCACAUGCAACCUUUUGAAAAUGGAUGGGUGAUAAUGAAAGACCAUUCCAGAGAAGAAACACCAUGGUGCAAAGGCUCAAGAGGCAUACUGGAAGUACAAUGAAGAGAGCAAUCUAACUGAAAUGGGAAAAAAAGAAACAAAGAGUAAAAAGUAAGAUUUGAUGAGAAAGAUGGAAUCGAUUUUUAAAUUUUUUUAUCUACACAACAAAAUUUAUUAUCUUAACCAUUUUUGAGUGAAUAAUUCGUUAGUAUUAAGUAUAUUUACCUCGUGCGGCCAGUCUCCAGAAUUCUUUUCAUCUUGCAAAACAAACCCCGAACCCAUUAAACAAUUUCUCAUUCGCCAUUUUCCAGCUAGCCUUGGUAACCUCCAUUCUAGUUCUGUCUCUGUGAAUUUGACUGUGUACCCCGUGUAAGUGGUAUCAUACAGUAUUUGUAUUUUUGUGACUGGCAUAUUUCACAUAGCAUAAUCUCCUUGUGGUUUAUCCAUCUUGUAGCAUGUGUCAGAAUUUCCUUCCCUUUUAAGACUAAAUAAUAUUCCAUUGUGUGUAUAUACCACUUGUGUUAUUUCCACCUUUUGGUUAUUGUGAAUAAUACUGCUUCAAACAUGAGUGUACAGAUAACUCUUCAAGAUCCUUUUAGGGUAAUACAGAGAUAGUAAGUUAUCUUGAUUGUUCACUGCCAGUUACAGACCAAACUCCUUGUUCUCCUUGUGCUCCACUUCUCAACCACUGCACUUGGCUAGUCUUAAACAAAAAAAGAAAAACCCUAAUUUUAAUAGCUUGUGGGGACAGACGCAGUGGCUCACGCCUAUAAUCCCAACACUUUGGGAGGCCGAGGUGGGUGGAUCACUUGAGGUCAAAAGUUCGAGACCAGCCUGGCCAAUAUGGUAAAACCCUGUCUCUACUAAAAAUACAAAAAUUAGCCGGGUACGGUGGCACACACCUGUAAUCCCAGCCACUCAGGAGACUGAGGCAGGAGAAAUGCUUGAACCCAGGAAGUGGAGGUUGUGGUGAACGGAAAUUGCGCCGCCGCACUCAAGCUGGGCGACAGCGAGACUCCGUCUCAAAAAUUAGUAUUAAUAGAAUGUGGGAGAUUUUGAAACCAAGUAUAGAAAUUCAUACUUUAUAUUGUUUAAGGUCCGUGACUAGGCAUAGUAACAUGAUGAAAGAACUGUUUUGGGUUUGUUUGGUUUUUUUCCGAGACAGAGUCUCACUCUGUUGCCCAGGCUGGCGUGCAGUGGUGCGAUCUCGGCUCACUGCAACCUCUGCCUCCCUGGUUGAAGCGAUUCUCUUUCCUCAGCCUCCUGAGUAGCUGGGACUACAGGCACAUGCCACCACGCCCAGCUAAUCGUUGUAUUUUUAGUAGAGGCGGGGUUUCACCAUGUUGGCCAGGAUGGUCUCGAUCUCUUGACCUCGUGAUCCAGCCUCCCAAAGUGCUGGGAUUACAGGCAGGAGCCACCACGCCCAGCUAGAAAGAUCUGUUUCAGAAAGCAACUCUGGCAGUGGAAGCUGAAUACAUACUCCAUUUCUAUAAAGCAUUUAUGGAGGCCUCUAGAUGUGCCAGGCAUUGUACUACUGCUUUAUGUAAAUUAUUGAUGGGUCCGCGAAUCCAUUAAUAUAAAUGUGAGCCAGUUGUUGUGCACCCCAAUUUACAGGCAAGAAAAUCAAGGUUCUGAGUUGCAGAUGGGCUGAGAAAAGGCUCACCAACCACAUGUACGCACAAGAGAUUAGGAAAGAAAACUGCCAUUGGAGCCAGGCUCCAGUAAGCACUGAGUAUUCAUUGGUUUGGAUGAGGAUACUGAAAGAAAAAAAUGACAUGUAAGAGUGACUUUUCUCAGGAGAAAGAAUAGGCUGACAUCAAGAGUCUUUGCUGUCACAUUAGUGGUAUGUAUAAGGGCACAACACAACAGAAGUACAUUUUUCAAGGUUCGUAAAAGAACCCUGGGGUUUGCUUUUAGGUUUGUUUAUUACCUUUAACAAAUAUAAAAUGCCAGGUAAAUAUAUCUUUGUAUGUAGUAGAGAAAUUAAUAAGACAUACCCUUCCCUACUCAACAUUUCAUCUUUGAUUUUAUAUUCUCAAAAAUAUUGUGAGGUCUUUUAAGGAAAUGAUCUCCUUUUGGCAGAUGAGGAAAUUGAGGGCCAGAGAGGAAAAAUUAUCUUCCCAAUGCCACAUGCCUAAUUGGUCUCAAAGCUUUGACUGGAACCUGAGCCUCCAGAAUUGCUGCUAUGCUUUCAUCUCCCUUAGAGAGAUAGAUAACAGUAGUCAGAGUGAGUGGACAAUUCUUCUAUUCAGUCAGUCUGAUCUUCCUCAGGGAUGCAUAUCCAGACUCCCAUGCAGCUAGUGAUAGUUAAACAAAGAGGCAGAGAAUAUAGUGCAUUAUAAAUAGCAUUCAUACACUCAAAAAUAUUGUGUGCCGAUACUGUGCCAAACACUUAGCAAAGCAGGGAAAAAUCCCUGUCCUCAUAGCAGAGACUAAAAAUAUUAAUAAGUAAAAUAUAUACUAAGACAGGUAGGAUAAGUGUUGGCAAGAAAAAGUGAAGCAGUGAGAGGGGAAUAGGGUGAGCCGAGAGUAGGGAGGGAGGUUUUUGUUUAUACCAGAGGCAGAGGAGCCCCACUGAGAAGGCAAACUGUACAAAGAUCUAAAGGAGGCAAAGGAACAAGAAAUGUGCCUUGGGUGGACAGGGAACAUUCUGGGUGGAAUAACAAGUGCAGAAAUCAUUAAGGCAGAAAGAUGCCUACUACAUUCUGAGAACAGAAAGCAGUCCAGAGUGAUAGAAGCAGAGUACAGGAGGGUAAAAGUAGGAAAUGAAGUCAGAGAGGUAAGAGGAAUUCAAAUUGGGCAUGGACUUACAGGCCAUUGUAAGGACUUUGGCUUUUUCUGAGGGAGAUGGGAAGCCAUCGUUGAGUAGAAAAAUAGUGAAAUUCUACUUAUAUAUUUAAAGAAUCACAUUGACUUCUAGUUUGACACUAGAUUAUUGAGGAGCAAGGGGGACCACUUAGGAAGCUAUUGUAAUACUCCAGGUGAGAGAUAAGUGGCAUAGAAAAGGUGCAAGCAGUGGAGGGAUGAGGUAUCUGGAUAUAUUCAGGGUGGCACACAGGAUUUGAUGACAAUUUAUAUAGGAUAUGAGAAAAUGAAGGGAGUCCAAGGUGACUACGAUUUUUGGCCUGAGCAUUUUGAAGAAUGGUGUUGUCAUUUACUGAACUGGGAAAGAUGGAGGAGCAGGUUGGGGAUGGGAAGAGAUAAAUUCCAUUUUGGGCCAGGCAGGGUGGCUCACACCUGUAAUCCCAGUACUUUGGGAGGCCAAGGCAGGCAGAUCGCUUGAGCUCAGGAGUUCAAAACCAGCCUGGGUAACAUGGUAAAACCCCAUCUCUACAAAAAUUAGCCAGGUAUGGUGGCAGAUGCCCAUAGUCUCAGCUGCUUGGGAGGAUCACUUGAGCCCUGGAGGUGGAGGUUGCAGUGAGCCAAAAUGGCACCACUGCACUCCAGCCUGGGUGACAGAAUGAGACCCCGUCUCAAAAAGACAAACAAAAAUUCUGUUUUGGAGCUUAAAUUUGAGAUGCCUGUUAGAAUGCCACAUGAAAAUAUUAAGAAGAGAGUUAGAUAUGUAGGAGUCUGGAAUUUAGAAAUGUCCAGACUGGAGAUGUAAAUUUGGGAGAGAGCAUGUAGAGAGUAUUUGAAGCCAUGAAAUAAUCUACAUAUAAAGUGUAGACAGAUGUUUGAGAAAGGUAUCUUAGGCACUGAAACAGGAGGAAACCAGGAAAAGAAUCCCAGUUGAACUGGGUGGGGAGGAUGGCUCAAGGAAGAACAACCAUGUCAAUUGCUGGGUUCUAACUGGCCACUGCUUAUGAUAGUGGAGUAGUAAGGAUAAAAGCCUGAUUGGAAUGGAUUUAGAAUAGUGGGAACGGAAUUGGAGAGAGGGAGAAUAGAUAAUUUGGGUAUGGAGUUGGUUGUAAGGAUAGCGGGUAGAAAAGUGAUAACUGCAAGGGGUCAAGACAGUGGUUUUAAAAUUACUUCACAAAUUUUUUAGUAUUUCUAAAAGAAUUCUUUUUUUAAUAAAUAUAACUUCAGACCGCUAUUGUUCCUUUGUAUCAACUACCCUGUUAUUCAAAUUAACCCAACUGUCUUAUAAAAUUUUUUGCUACCAGCUUUAUUGAGAUAUAAUUCAUAUACCAUACUAUUCACUCAUUUAAAGUAUACAAUUCAACAACUUUAGUGCAUUCAAAGAGUUGUGCAGGGUGGGCGCGGCAGCACAUGCCUGUAAUUCCAGCACAUUGGGAAGCCAAGACGAGGAUCAUUUGAGCCAAGGAGUUCGAGCUCAGCCUGGGCAACAUGCAAAACCACUUCUCUACAAAAAUUAGCUAGGCGUGGUGGUGUGCGCAUGUAGUCCCAGCUACCUGGGAGGCUGAGGUGGGAGGAUUACUUGAGCCCAGGAGGCAGACAUUGCAGUGAGCGCCACUGCACUCCAGCCUGGGCAACAAAGUGAGACCCUGUCUCAAAAAAAAAAACAAAAGUUGUGCAACCACCAUUACAAUUUGUUUUAGGACAUUUUCAGCACCCCAAAAAGAAACAUUACUAUGCACUUAGGGUGAUAAUGAUGUGUCAGUGUAGGUUCAUCAAUUGUAACCACUCCGGUGAGGGAUGUUGAUAAUGGGGUGACUGAUUUUGAUUUGCUGUGUGUGUGUGUGUGUGUGUGUGUGUGUGUGUGUGUGAGAGAGAGAGAGACAGGGUCUCACUCUGUCACCCAGGCUAGCAUGCAGUAGCACAAUUACAGCUCACCACAGCUUCAACCUCCCAUCGCAGCCUCUUGGUGGGGCUGAGCUGGGAGGAUCGCUUGAGCCCAGGAGGUCAAGGCUGCAGUGAGCCAUGAGUGUGCCACUCCACUCUAGCCUGGAUGACAUAGUGAGACCCUGUCUCAAAACAAACAAACAAAAAAAGUGAAAAGUAUCAGGAGAGCAGGAAGCCAAGGCCAAAAGCGUUGUUUUCUGGAUUCUAGUUCUGGCUCUGCAGCUAAUCAACAUGCACUCUCAGUGUCCUGUCCAUAGGGUAAAAGAUUGCAUGAGUAGCUCUAAAGGCCUGUAAGCUUUAUGAUUUUAUGCCUAUUCUUGAUUUUUCUCACAGUUUUGAGGAUGCUAUUUUUGUUAAUAUCUUUUUUUUUAUACUUUUAAGUUUUAGGAUACAUGUGCACAAUGUGCAGGUUUGUUACAUAUGUAUACAUGUGCCAUGUUGGUGUGCUGCACCCAUUAACUCGUUAUUUAACAUUAGGUAUAUCUCCUAAUGCUAUCCCUCCCCCCUCCCCCACCCUAUUUUUGUUAAUAUCUUUAGCGCUACUUGUUUUUAUCUGCAUUCUGAUUAUGCUUUACUCAGCAACUAACUGGCAUAGGCCUGCCCCAGGUGUCAGUUCGUAUAGCAAAUUCAGCUUGAGCAUAAAGAACUUUCUGGAAGCAAAGACACCAAAAUAUUAGCAAUUUAUUAUUUCUAGGUGGUAAGAUUAUUGGUCAUUUUAAAAUUUACAUUUGUAUUCUUUAUUUUAUUCUACAAACAUAUAUUUUUUUGGCCAGGCACGGUGGCUCACACCUGUAAUCCCAGCACUUUGGGAGGCCAAGGCAGGUGGAUUAGCCAGGUGUGGUGAUGGGCGCCUGUAAUCCCAGCUACUUGGGAGGCUGAGGCAGGAGAAUAACUUGAACCCGGGAGGCAGAGGUUGCAGUAAGCCAAGAUCCCGCCACUGCACUCCUGCCUAGAUGACAGAGUGAGACCCUCUGUCACACACACACACACACACACACACACACACUCUCUCUCUCUCUCUCUCUCUAUAUAUAUAUAUAUACACACACACACACAUAUGUAUAUAUAUUUUUUAAAAAAUUUUUUUUAUUUUUAGUAGAGACAAGGUCUCGCUAUGUUGCCCAGGCUGGUCUUGAACUCCUGGGAUCAAGGGAUCCUCUCACCUCAGCCUCCCAGAGUGCUGAGAUUACAGAUGUGAGCCACUUGGCUGGCACUUUUUUUUUUUUUUUUUUGAAAUGGAGUCUCUCUUUCUUGUUGCCCGGGUUGGAGUGCAAUGGCGUGAUCUUGGCAACCUCCACUUCUCAGUUUCAAGCAGUUCUCCUGUCUCAGCCUCCCAAUUAGCUGGGAUUACAGGCGUGCACCACCACGCCCAACUAAGGCAUAUUUUUAUAAUAUUUUAAAAGUUAUUCUUAAGGCAUUUGAUAGCAUAUUUUUGAUUGCAUGCCCCAGCAAAGAGGAAUCACUAAACUUUAGGUCAGUAGAUUUCUUUCUCUUCCUAUAAUUCAGUUUGGCAGCAUCUUCCAUUCUAAGUUAACCUAAAUACUUUAGUAAUAAAGACUUACAUGUAUCUAAUUAGAUAGUCAGCUUUACUUAAUCUUCUUAAUCAUCUAGAUUAGAUGUUAAGUGAAAAAAUAUUUUGUGCCUACAGAAAUUAAGAUUCGGAAAGAACAGUAGCACAUACAUGCUAUCAACAUCUGUGUCAUAACUCAUAUGGAAUCUGGAUUUGCGCUACUUGGGGAACAGGUAGUGUCUGCUAGAGAAGUGGUGUGACAGAAACAUGGGCAAAGGCAGGGUGUGUCUUUUGUAAAUGAUGAAAACAGAAGAUUAAAAACAAGUUUGCUAAAUCAUGUUCAUAACCACUCCCUGGAGAGCAAUUACUCUGAUUACUCGACUUACCUGGUAAGUACCACCCACUGUAGGAGAAAAUACAGAUGUUUGGUUCACUGUUAUGGGUUUCCCCAUGUGCAAAGGUGUUAUGCUGCUGCUAUGCUCGUCUUUAAACACUGUAGUAGCAGUUACUGAAGAAUGGUAGAGUAAGGGGUGCCCUCACAGCUGUCAACUCACUGUGUGAUCCAGACGAGUAACGUAGCCUGGUCGCAAGCUCCAAGGUUACUUAUCUUUAGUGGAGGGGAUAGUUCUAGUUUCCAGUGUUAUCACGACUAGUAAAAUUGAUAUUAUAAAAUCCACUUCUCAGUAAGGAAGGCAGUUUGAAAGCGUUCUUGUUGUGAGAAGCAUGACAAAUACAGGCAGUUCUAUGGACAGUGUUUAUGUAAAACAAAUUAUUGAAUAGCCAUUUGAACAUUAACUGUUGCCCAGUGUGUUAUAAUGUGUACCUGCUCAGGCAUUUUGAAGACUCUUCUUACACCUAGUGAGGACCAAGGGCAAAUAGCAAAAAGUAACCUGACAUAGAGUUUUAGUUUGGAGAUUUUCUUUUGAAUUGCCCUCAGGGAGAUUUCUCAAGCAACACUGGUCCAUGCCAAUUUGCAAAUGGACUCUUGUGCCAGUGGCUCAAUCAACCCAUCCAAAUGCAGAGAACCAUUUGGAGGCAUUCAAAACCAAAUGAGGGGCAAUUUUCUUUCAUUUAUAUGCUGUCUGUUAACCUCUCUUUCACCAAAAAUUAACCUGAUUCUGGGUAUGCAUACCUGAAAAAACACAAUUUUUACACUCAAGGAAGUUUCAUUUUUUCAUAGGAAAAAAUCAACUAUUACUAAACUAUACAGUUACUACAGUGAUGGAGAUGUGUGCAGGCUGCUGUAGGAACAUAAAAGGGAGCGCCUAACAGGUGUGGGUGAGUCAAAGAGAGCUGGGGAGGAAUGAAGGCAACAUUCUUGAGCUAAACCAAAUAAACAAAACAUUGCAACUCACAAUUAUGACCUAUUUCAAACUCUUAGAACUACAGUAAUGAUUUAGACUAGUUCUCAUUUGGACAGGGUUUAUUUACUCUUACGGUUUCAAGCACCCCUUAAUCUUUCCAUUUUAACAAGGGUAUAUGGAGCUUCACAGAUAAUAUCUCCAAAAAUGGGCAUAUUUUGACUUGUAGACCAUCACCUGCACACACACUUCAAGGUCACUUUCAUACAGCAAAGUGAGGAAAGAGUUUAUUAGCUAGAUGAGAAUGUGUAAAUGAGGCCGGGUGUGGUGGCUCACGCCUGUAAUCCCAGCACUUCGGGAGGCUGAGAUGGGUGGAUCUCCUUUGGUCAGGAGUUAGAGACCAGCCGGGCCAACAUGGUGAAACCCUGUCUCUACUAAAAAUACAAAAAUUAGCUGGCAUGGUGGCGGGCGCCUGUAGUCCCAGCUACUCAGGAGGCUGAGGCAGGACAAUCCCUUGAACCCAGGAGGUGGAGGUUGCAGUGAGCCAAGAUCACGCCACUGCACUUCAGACUGGUGACAGAGCAAGACUGUCUCAAAAAAACAAUGUGUAAAUGAAACUGCCCUACUAUUUCUGCUUUAGUAAAAACAACAGAUUCUGGUCAGUAUUUGUUCACUUAUAUUGGGCAUAAGAUAAUUCCUGCUGUUUGUUGCAGAUCUUGGCAUACUGCCUGAUUGUCCUGCAUGGGAAUCUUGGACUGCUACUACAGCAAUUUCAUGACUGUGUUUCUUCUAUUUUUGUUUUUACCACGUUAGUUAUAUCAUGCAGUACUUGAAACGAAGGUGGAGUCUGUCACUCUGUCAGCCUGCAGUUUAAAAAGUUAGAUGAUGCAUUAAAAAAUCAACAAAUUUUGCCAGGAAGGCAGUGUGUGCCUGUGGUCCUAACUUCUCGGAAGACUGAGUCAGGAGGAUUGCUUGAGCCUAGCAGUUUGAAUCCAGUCUGGGCAACAUAGUGAGACCCUUUGUCUUAAAAAAAAUCAACACAUUUUAAAAGUAUUUCAAGAUUUGUAUUUGCCAUAUUUCCAAGCUAGUAUUAUUUAUUUAGAGUUUCCUAUUGCGGGUGAAAUUCUCUUGUCUUUUGCUGUUUGCAGUAACUUGAGUCUUUUUUCAUCUCUUCAGAUAAUCUACUUAUAUUCAUGCCAAGUUUUCUAGUUUUCCUAUUGCUUCCUCUAAUUUUCAAAUAGAGUAUAUACAAUAUUGAGCAUAGUUUCUCAUUAGUCUGUUCACAGUCACUAAACUAAUCCUCAAAUGUAUUUGAUUCUAUCACUUUCCAAAAUUUGCCUUUGCUGGUUCAUAAUAUAGUUACCUAACUUCCCCAGCUCUGCCCUCGCUCAUGAACUGUAUUUCUCUACAUUACCCCCACACUGCAUUGGCAUUCUGAGUCAUCGGGGAUUAGGUAUCCUUCCUGCUAUUAACUACAUAAUAUUUAAACUUCCCCACUUGCCCAUCUCCUUUAUUUCGUAUUCAAACACCACAUGAAUUAAACUAACGUUGGUUGCUUUUAACCUGUAAUUCCUGACUGCAACAGGUAGUUAGUUGCCACCUCUUGAAAUGAACAGAUUUGACUAGAAGCUGACACUUCUUACUCCCGCUGAACUUAGUAUUUUACAUUUAUAUAAAUUCAAAAAGCAAAAUCAUACCUUUCUUAUCAAUGGGCCCUCUUUGUCCAUUGAUAACAUAAUAUUGCAAUAUAAACAAAAAGUAUUUGUACCAUACCUCAGAAAACAAAUUAGAUUACUAUUAGUGCAAAACAGGGGAAAAGUAGAAAAAUGUUAUUGUAAAGAGACUAUCACCCACUUCAAGGGAUUUAUCAGGUAACUGCCUGUGUAAGUUACAAAGACAAUGCUAAUCUAUAACUAGUGUAUACCUAGAUGAGCCGCCAGGACAUUUGUCUAAUGGCAGAUGGGGUAAUUGGACUCCACAUCUUCAACUUAGGCACAUGGAAAACAGCAUCCCUAAAAGUUGCCUGGGGAUGACCAGUACUGAGCCAACCAGCUUAGUGGAACUGUUACGAGAGAGAAACUUCAGAGCCAAGGAAUUUCUUGGCAGAGCCUCACAUUCUGCCUUAGAAUCAUGAAAAGUUAGAUCUAGAAGGUAACAGAGAUCAUUUAAUCCACUGCCCUUAUUUUACGGUGAAAAACUGAAGGCCAGAGAAGUUAAGGAGUUUGCCUAAGGUCUCACACUCGUAGUUAGUGACAGAUUCAGAGCUAGAACUAGAUCAUCCUGACUGCAUUUCAGUAGUCUUAGAGCUGGCCGACAAAUCUGACAACUCACAUUGAACCCAUGUUCCAAAAGGUAUUUUAUAUUGAGCUUAUGAACACCGCUUUUUAAAUUUAUGUUAUUUAUUUAUUUAUUUAUUUAUUAUAUUUUAAGAUCUGGGAUACAUGUGCAGAACAUGCAGGUUUGUUACAUAGGUAUACAUGUGCCAUGGUGGCUUGCUGCACCCAUCAAUCUGCCAUCCUGUUUUAAGCCCCACAUUCAUUAGGUAUUUGUCCUAAUGCUCUCCCUCCUGUUGCCCCCCAUCCCUUGACAGGCCCCCGUGUGUGAUGUUCCCCUCUCUGCGUCCAUGUGUUCUCAUUGUUCACCUCCCACUUUUGAGUGAGAACAUGCGGUGUUUGGUUUUCUGUAUGAACACCCCUUUCACAGAAAAUUAGGCAAACAGGUUGGAAUAUUUAGAAUAGAAAACAUUUAUUAUAAAGUCACAAGAAAUACCUGUGUAGACUUGCUGACUGGAAGUAUUUGGCUUCCGUAAGACAAAGAAGAGUCUUAGUCAUCUGGUUAAAGUUAAAAACGAUUGUGUCACCAGGCUGAAAGCAGACAUGCUGUGGAAGCAGUAGGCUGAAAUUAGAACUGAAUACAAGAGUUUAGAGAAAAUUGAAUUUGGAGCUAUCUCACAACACUGGGAGUUAUUCUGUUUUUGUUUGCUUUUAAUAGGCACACAAAAAAGAAUAGUGACUACAAUGAACUCCUUGUGUAGCCCCACCAGACCCCAUUUUCUUCCCUCCCCACUGAAUUUGGUGCUUAUAUUUCCAUACCUAUUCAUGUGGUUUUCCUAUAGGUAAAUGUAUCCCUAAGUGAUGUUUAGCAUUAUUUUCAUAUUUUAAGCUACAUAAAUGCUAUCAUAUUGUAUAUAUGUGUCUACAACUUGCAUUUUUUUUUUUGCUUAAUACUACAUUUUUGAGAUUUAUCCUAUUGAUAAAUAGGAUUUCUCUAACUAAUUUAUUUUAUUUUUUGGAGAUGAGGUCCCGCUAUGUUACCCAGGCUGGAAUGCAGUGGCAGUUCACAGGCACAAUCAUAGCACAAUGUGGCCUUGAACUCCUGGACACAAGUGACCUCUUGCCUCAGGCUCCUGAGUAGCUGGGGACUACAGGCCCCAGCCACUGCACCAGGCCAGCUAAUUCAUUUUAACUGCUUUAUGGUGUUCCAUUGUAUGAAUGUUUCAACAUUUAGCUAAUCUCCUAUUGAUUGACAUCUAGUGAGUUUCCAGUUUUUUGAUUUGCUUUGUUUCAUUUGCUGUUUUAUUUUAAUGUUGCUACUGUAAACAUGUUUAUAAAACUGGUGCAUGUGUGAAAGAGUUUGUCUAGUAACAUUUACAAGGUCUCAGUGUGUGUGUGCAAAUCUUGAAUUUAGCAAGAAGAUCUCAAAAUAGCAGGUUAUGAGACUAACACAAGGACUGUGUAUUUUUAGAGUUUUAAUUUUUUGUGAAUCUGAAGAGUGUAAAAUACUGUUGCCUUCUGGUUUUAAUUUCUCUGAUUCCUUGUGGGGCUGAGUACCUUUCCAUGUGUUCACAGACAAUUUGGAUCUCCUCUUCUCCCUAGCUCACUUUUCAGAUGAGCUGCUGAACUUUUUAUUGUUCAUUCUGAAAAAUGUUCUAUAGUCAUUAUGUAAAUCCUUAUUAUAUGCAUUGCCAAUAUCUUCUCCUAAUCUGGAGCUUGACUUUUCACUUUUAUAAUGAUAUAUUUUCAUGAACAUAUUUAUCAAUCUUUUAUUUUUUAUUUAUACUUAUUAUUUCUUUAAAACAUCAUUUUUUCACUCUAAGGUCAUAAGAUAUUCCCCAAUAUUUUUCUUUAGUUUUUUUAAAGUUUUAUUUUUUUACAAUCUUCAAGUCUUUUAUGUGCCAGGAAUUAACUUGUGUGUAGUGUGAGGUCAGGAGCUAGUUUUAUUUUUUUCUACAUCGACAAGCAAUUGUUUAGAAACCAUUAAUUGAAUAUUACAUUUCUUCCCCACAGUUGGGUAAUGGCACUUUCAUCAUAUAUCCUGGACUCUCUAUCAGUCAGGUUAUUAUUCCUGUGCCUUAUUAUACCAUAUUAACUACUAUAUCUUUAUGGUAAGUCUCAAUAUCUGGAAAGCCCCUAUUUGUCAAGUGGAUGCAAUGGGAGCUAGAUGGAUUUGCACUAUCCUUCUUGAAUACCAUCCAAGAGGUAUGAAUACUGUGGGGAAGGAAACCCAGAAGGAUGUUAUCUUAGCCCUUUUGUGUUGCUAUAAAGGAAUACUUGAGGCUGUGUAAUUUAUAAAGAAAAGAGGAUUAUUUGGCUCACAGUUCUGCAGGCCUUAUAAGAAGCAUGAUCCAGCCUGACCAACAUGGUGAAACCCUGUCUCUACUAAAAAUACAAAAAUUAGCCGGGCAUGGUGGUGCGCCUGUAGUCCCAGCUACUCAGGAGGCUGUGGCAAGAGAACUGCUUGAACCUGGGAGGUGGAAUUUGCUGAACCAAAAUCAUGCCACUGCACUCCAGCCUGGGUGACAGAAUCUCAGGGAAAAAAAAAAAAAAAAGCAUGAUGCCAGCAUCUGCUUCUGGCAAGGGCUUCUGGCUGUUUCCACCAGUGGCAGAAGGGUAAGGGGAACUGGCAGAUUCAGAGAUCAUAUGGUGAGAGGGGUGGCAAGAAGUGGGAGGAGGUUCCAGGCUGUUUUUAGUGACCAGCUUUCCUGGGAACUAAUAGAGUGAGAACUCAGUACCACAAGGACAGCACCAAGCCAUUCAUGAGGCACCUGCCCCAUGACUGAGCAAAACACCUUCCAUUAGGCCCCACCUCUAACAUGGGGGACCACAUUUUAACAUGAGGUUUAGGGGGACAUGAAAACUAUAUCGGAGACUAUGGGGUCAGUCAUUGUUGCAGUAGCUGAGUGGGGAAAUGGGAAUCCUGGAACUGGAGAUCAGUGUCCCACAUCAAGGAACUGUGCUCUGUGGAGACCUGUGGGCCCUCUAAGAACUCACAUGUGUGUCUCCUGAGAGACAUCCAGGCCUUGGAUACCUGACCACAAAGGGCCUCUUGUGGUCCUUCAGUGUUAUUAAGUAGAACAACAGCAACCAGCAGAGGACUCCAGUUGCUUCCAGUGAAGUAAAAAGUCACUUUCUCUGAAAGUGGAGUUAAGAACACAAUUCUCCUUACAAUGGCUGGACGUGCUGGCUCAUGCUUGUAAUCCUAGCACUUUGGGAAACUGAGAUGGGCAGAUAACUUGCGGCCAGGAGUUCGAGACCAGCCUGGCCAACAUGGUGAAACCUUGUCUCUACUAAAAUACAAAAAUUAGCAGGGUGUGGUGGCACAUGCCUGUGGUCCCAGCUACUUGGGGGACUGAGGCAUGAGAAUCCCUUGAACCUGGCAGGUGGAGGUUGCAGUGAGCUGAGAUCACACCACACACUUCAGCCUGGGCAACAGAGCGAGACUCCAUGACAGAAAGAGAGAGAGAGAGAGAAAGAAAGAAAGAAAAUUCUUCUUACAAUAACAGCAAAAAGAAUAAAACAGGAAUAGAUUUAGCAAAAGAAGUACAAGACUUGUACACUGAAAACUGUUGAAAGAAGUUAAAGAAGACCAAACAAAAUCCCAGCCAGCUUCUUUGUACAAAUUGACAAACUAAUCCUACAAUUAAUAUGGAAAUGCAAGAGACCAAGAAAAGCCAAACUAUUUUGGAAAAAAAAAAUAACAAAGUUCCUGGAGGACUCACACUUUCUAAUUUCAAAGCUACAAUAAUCAAAACUUACUACAAACCCAAAAUAAUCAAAACGGCAUGGUAUUGGCCUACAUAUAGACAUAUUGACCAAUGGAAUAGAAUUAAGAGUUUAUAAAUAAACCCAUACAUCUGUGUUGAAUUGAUUUUCAACCAGGGUGCCAAUUCGGUGAGAAACAAACAUCCUUUCAACAAAUGGCUCUAGGACAACUGGAUAGCUACAUGCAAAAGAAUGAAGUUAGACCCCUUGCCUCACACCAUAUGUAGAAAUCUACAUGAAACUAAAACUGCUUUAAAAAAUAGUCUAUUUAUUUAGAAACAGGGUCUUGCUCUGUCACCCAGGCUGGAGUACUCUGACACAACAAUAGCUCACUGCAGCUUCAAACUCCUGGGCUCAAGUGAUGCUCCUGCCUCAGCCUCCUGAUAGCUAGGAUUACAGACAUAUGCCACCAUGCCCAGCUAUUAUUUAAUUUUUUGUACAGACCAAGACUGGGUCUUGCCAUGUUGCCCAGGCUGGUCUCAAACUGCUGGGCUCAAGUGAUCCUCCCACCUCGGCCUCACAGCACACUGCUGCAAAUUCCAUGAGAUGGGUGAAAAACUAUGAGUUCCCAACAUGUGAGAAGGGGGAAACCUGCCUCUGAACACACAUCUCCACUGGGGAACCUCAAAACCCAGAUUAUGGAAGAAGGAUUUAACCUUGCCUAGAGCUGAAAUGGAUUUAGUAUAAAAUAUAAAAGUAGAAAUAGUAGCAGGAAGAGCCUUGUAGGCGCUCCCAUUCUCCAGCUUGGGCCAGGGAAGCCAUCCCUGACUGUAUCUCACCGAGGCCAUUGAGGAAGACAGUUGGCAGAAUUUGGGCAGGGUCGCAGGGUGAAAUAAGCUUCCAACUGAACUGUGUAAUAAUUUUGACUGGGCGCAAACUCUGUCGAGCAGAAAUCGGGGGUGAAAGUGAACUGCUGCAGAAAGGAGCAUAGGAGCCACAGCUGACAGUGUGGGCAGACAGGGAGGGGCAAGGCCUGAAAGCCAUGCUUGCUUUCUUAGUGGGGAAACUUAUACCCUGGGGCUAGGUCUGAGUCCUGCACACCAGCUGCCUGGAGAUAAACUGUGCUGUUAGCGGGGCACAGUGGGAGUGAAACUGGCCUUGCCAACUGUGUGGUAGCUGGGUGAGCCCUGUGGCUACUUACUUUCCCCCACUUCCCUGGUGACAGAGGCGCCAUAAUCCACACUGGAACAUAACCCCAUUUGCCUGAGAAUCAGCCCCCUAUCCCCCACAGUGGCUGUGGCAAAAAGAGUCUGAGCUCAGACCUGCCUAAUCCUGCCCCAACCUGAUGGUAUUUCCCUACCCAUCCCAGUGCCCAGUCACAAAAGACAAACUCUUGGGAGCUUUAUGGCCCUACUUAUCACAUGAGAAACCUGAACACUUAUCCUGACCAACUUAGGGCAAGCUUAUAUCCCCCUUCUACUAUCACAGCUGGUGCUCUCCUGAACAUACCACCUCCUGGCUGGAGGCCAACCAACUCAAGAUAUGACAGCAACUCAUGACAAAAUAACACUGCUCCAAGGAAGGAAAAAACAGCUAACUCCACUAUCUGCAACAUCCUGGCUAAACAGAGGUCCUGUCCAUGUGGCAACAUCACUGCUAUCAUAACCAGCAUUUGAGAAAGCCAGCACACUAAACAUCUACAACCAAGGCUUCUCAUAGAGUCUAUGUCACUACCCUGCCACCUCCCCCAGAGGAGGUGCUGGUAUCCAUAGCUGGGAGACCUGAAGAUGGAUUACAUCACAACACUCUUUGCAGACACUCCCCAGCAUGAUCCUGGAGCUUGGAAGCCCCACUGGAUGCCUAGACCCAGAAAAGCAAUAACAAUCACCACAGUCUGGCUCUCAGAAAGCCCCAUCCCUAAGGAAAGGGGGAGUGCACCACAUCACGGGAUCACCCUGUGAGACAAAAGAAUCUGAACAGCAGCCCUUGAGUUCCAGAUUUUUCCACUAAAAUAGUCUACCCAAUAAGAAGAAAUCAAAAACAUAAUUCAGGUAAUAUGACAAAACAAGGUUCUAUAACACCCACAAAAGACCACACUAGCUUCCUAGCAAUGGAUCCAAACCCAGAAGGAAUCUCUGAAUUGCCACAUAAAGAAGUCAGAAGGUUGAUUAUUAAGCUACUGAAGGAGAUACUAGAGAAAGGUGAAAACCAACUUAAAGAAAUGUAAAAAUCAAGCCAGGUGCGGUGGCUCACGCUUGUAAUCCGAGCACUUCGGGAAGCCAAGGCAGGUCACUUGAGGCCAGGAGUUUGAGACCAGCCUGGCCAACAUGGCAAAACCCUGUCUGUACUAAAACAAAAACAAAAAUUAGCCUGGCUUGGUGGUACAUCCCUUUGGUCCCAGCUACUCAGGAUGCUGAGGUGGAAGGAUCACUUGAACAUAGGAGGUAGAGGUUGCAGUGAGCCAAGAUCAUGCAACUGCCCACCAACCUGGGUGACAAGCAAGACCCUCUCUCAAAACAAAACAAAAAGUUAAAAAAAAAUACAGGACAUGGAUGAAAAAUUCCCCAGAGGUAUAGAUAUCAUAAAGAAAAAACAAUUGGGCCGGGCGUGGUGGCUCAUGCCUGUAAUCCCAGCAUUUUGGGAGGCCAAGGCGGGCAGAUCACCUGAGGUCAGGAGUUCGUGACCAGCCUGACCAAAAUGGAGAAAUGCUGUCUCUACUAAAAAUACAAAAUUAGCUGGGCGUGGUGGUGCAUGCCUGUAAUCCCAGCUACUUGGGAGGCUGAGGCAGGAGAAUCGCUUGAACCCAGGAGGCAGAGGUUGUGGUGAGCCAAGAUCAUGCCAUUGCACUCCAGCCUGGGCAACAAAAGUGAAACUCUUGUCUCAAAAAAAAGAAAAAAAGAAACAAUCACAACUUCUGGAAAUGAAAGACACACUUAGAGACAUACAAAAUGCACUGGAAAGUGUCAACAAUAGACUAGAACAAGUAGAAGAAAAAACUUCAGAGCUUGACAAGGCUUUUGAAUUAACCCAAUCAGACAAAGACAAAGAAAAAGGAAUUUUACAAAAUGAAGAAAGCCACCAAGAAAUUGGGGAUUAUGUUAAAUAGACAAAACUAAAAAUAAUUGGUAUUCCUGAGGAAGAAGAGAAAUCUAAAAGUUUGGAAAACUUAUUUGAGGGAAUAAUCAAGGAAAACUUCUCUGGCCUUGCUAGAGAUCUAAACAUCCAAAUAGAAGAAGCUCAAAGAACACCUGGGAAAAUCAUUGCAAAAAGAUCACCUAGGCACACAGUCAUCAGGUUAUCUAAAGCCAAAACAAAGGAAAGAAUCUUGAGAGCUGCAAGGCAAAAGCCUCAGACAACCUAUAAAGGAAAACCUAUCAGAUUAACAGCAGAUUUCUCAGCAGAAACUCUACAAGCCAGAAGUGAUUGAGGUCCUAUCUUUAGCAUCUUCAGACAAAAUAAUUGCUAGACAAGAAUUCUGUAUCCAGCAAAACUAACCUUCAUAUAUGAAAAAGAGAGAAAUUAUUUUUCAGACAAACAAAUGCUGAGAGAAUUUGUCACUACUAAGCCAGCACUACAAGAAAUGCUAAAAGGAUUUCUAAAUCUUGAAACAAAACUUCAAAAUAUACCAAAAUAGAAACUCCUUAAAGCAUACAUUUCACAGGGCCUAUAAAACAAUGAAAAACAAACAAGGUAUUCAGGCAACAACUAGCAUGAAGAAUAAAAUAGUACCUCACAUCUCAAUAAUAAAAUGAAUAUAAAUGGCCUAAAUGCUCCUCUUAAAAGAUGCAGAAUGGGCUGGGUGUGGUGGCUCACACCUGUAAUCCCAGCACUUUGGGAGGCUAAGGCAGGCAGAUCACGAGGUCAGGAGAUCAAGACCAUCCUGGCUAACACAGUGAAACCCCGUCUCUACUAAAAAUACAAAAAAAUAGGCCAGGCAUGGCAGCAGGCACCUGUAGUCCCAGCUAACCAGGAGGCUGAGGAAGGAGAAUGGUGUGAACCCAGGAGGCGGAGCUUGCAGUGAGCCGAGAUCGUGCCUCUGCACUCCAGCCUGGGCGACAGAGCGAGACUCCGUCUCAAAAAAAAAAAAAAAAAAAAAAAAUUGCAGAAUGGCAGAAUGGAUAAAAAUCUACCAACCACAUAUCUUCUGUCUUCAAGAGACUGGCCUAAUGCAUAAGGAUUCACAUAAACUUAAUGUAAAGGAGUGGGAAAAGAUAUUCCUUGCAAAUGGAAACCAAAAGUGAGGAAGAGUAGCUAUUCUUAUAUCAGACAAAACAGACUUUAAAGCAACAAGUUAAAAAAGACAAAGAGGGACAUUAUAUAAUAAUAAAAGGAUCAUUUCAACAAGAAAAUAUCACAAUCCUAAAUAUAUAUGCACCUAACACUGGAGGUCCCAAAUUUAUAAAACAAUUAUUACUAGACCUAAGAAAUGAGAUAGAUGGCAACACAAUAAUAGUCAGGGACAGCCGGGUGCAAUGGCUCACAACUGUAAUCCCAGCACUUUGGGAGGCCAAAGCAGGUGGAUCACCUGAGGUCAGGAGUUUGAGACCAGCCUGACCAACAUGGCAAAACCCUGUCUCUACUAAAAAUACAAAAAGUAGCUGGGUGUGGUAGCACAUGCCUGUAUUCCCAGCUACUCAGGAGGCUGAGGUAGGAGAAUCGCUUGAACCCAGGAGGCAGAGGUUGCAGUGAGCUGAGAUUGUGCCACUGCCCUCCAACAUGGGAGACAGAGCGAGACUCCAUUUCAAAAAAAUAAAAGAAUAGUAGUUGGGGACUUCAAUACUCCAGUGACAGCACUAGACAAGUCAUCAAGCCAAAAAGUAAACAAAGAAACAAUGGAGCUGGACAUGGUGGCUCACACCUGUAAUCUCAGCACUUUGGGAAGCCAAAGUGGGCAGAUCACCUGAGGUCAGGAGUUUGAGACCAGCCUAGCCAACGUGGUGAAACCCCGUCCCUACUAAAAAUACAAAAAUUUGCUGGGUGUGGUGGCACAUACCUGUAAUCCCAGCUAAUCAGGAGGCUGAGGCAGGAAAAUCGCUUGGACCCCAGAGGUGGAGGUUGCAGUGAGCCAAGAUCAUGCCACUGCACUCCAGCCUGGGUGACAGAGUGAGACUCUGUGUCACAAAAGGAAGGAGGGAAGGAAGGAAGGAAGGAAGGAAGGAAGGAAGGAAAAGAAUUUAAACUAUACCAUAGAACAAAUGGUCUCAACAGAUAUUUACAGAACUUCUACCUAACAACUACAGAGUAUACAUUCUUUUUAGCAACACAUGGAACAUUCUCCAAGAUAAAACAUGGUGGGCCACAAAACAUGUCUCAGUAAAUUUAAGAAAACUGAAGUAAUAUCAAGUACUCUUUCAGACCAUACUGGAAAAAAACUGGAAAUUAACUCCAAAAAGAACCCUCAAAACUAUACAAAUACAGGGAAACUUAAUAAACUGCUCAUGAAUGAUCUUUGGGUCAGCAAUGAAAUCAAGAUGGAAAUUAAAGAAUUAUUUGAACUGAAUGAUAAUAGUGACAGAACUUAUCAAAACAUCUGGCAUAUAGCAAAAGUGGUUCUAAGAGGAAAGUUCAUAGCAUUAAAUGCCUAUAUCAAAAAGUCUGAAAAAGCACAAAUAGCCAAUCUAAGGUCACACGUCAAGUAACUAGAGAAAUAAGAGCAAACCAAACCCAAACCCAGCAGAGGGAAAAAAAAUUACAAGGAUCAGAGCAGAACUAAAUGAAAUUGCAAUACAAAAAUGUAUAAAAUAUAAAUGAAACAAAAAGCUAGUUCUUUCAAAAAAAAUGAUAGACUGUUAGUGAGAUAAACCAAAAAAAGAAGGGAGAAGAUCCAAAUAACUUCACUUAGAAAUGAAACGGGAGAUAUUACUACUGAUAGCACAGAAAUAAAAAAUGAUUUAAGACUACUGUGAACACCUUUACACACACAAACUAGAAAACCUAGAGGAGAUGGAUAAAUUUCUGGAUAUAUACAAGCCUCCUAGAUUAAAUCAGGAAGAAAUAGCAACUCUGAAUAGACCAAUAACAAGUAGUGAGAUUGAAACAGUAAUGAAAAAAAAAAUGCCAACAGCAAAAAAAAGGUCCAGGACUAGAUGGAUUCACAGAUGAAUUCUAUCAGGCAUUUGAAGAAGAAUUGGUACUGAUCGUAAUGAAAUUAUUCCAAAAGAUAAACUGGAAAUCCUCCUUAAAUAAUUCUAUGAAAGCCGGGUGCAAUGGCUCAUACCUAUAAUCCCAGCACUUUGGGAGGCUGAAGCAGGCAGAUCACUUGAGGUCAGGAGUUCAAGACCAGCCUGGCCAACGUGGUGAAACCCCAUCUCUACUAAAAAUUCAAAAAUUAGCUGGGCGUAGUGGCAGGCACCUGUAAUCCCAGCUACUCAUGAGGCUGAAGCAGGAGAAUUGCUUGAACCUGGGAGGCAGAGAUUGCAGUAAGCCAAGAUUGCACCACUGCACUCCAGCUUGGGCAACACGAGCAAAACUUCGUCAAAAAAAAAAAAAAAAAAAACUCUAUGAAGCCAGUAUCACUCUAAUACCCAAACCAGGAAAAGACAUAACAACAACAACAAAAAUGCAGACCAAUAUCCCUGAUGAACAUAGAUGGGAAAAUCCUCAACAAAAUACUGGCUAACCAAAACCAACAGCAUAUCGAAAAGAUAGCACAUCAUGAUAAAGUGGGUUUUAUACUAGGGAUGCAGGGAUGGUUUAACAUAUGCAAGUCAAUAAAUGUGAUACAUCACAUAAACAGAAUUAAAAGCAAAAAUCAUAUGAUCAUCUCAAUAGAUGCUGAAAAAGCAUUUGACAAAAUCCAGCAUCCCUUUAUGAUUAAAACCCUAAGCAAAAUCAGCAUAGAAGGGACAUACCUCAAGGUAAUAACCAUCUAUGACAAACCCUCAGGCAACAUUAUACUGAACAGGGAAAGGUUGAAAGCAUUCCCCCUGAGAACUGGAACAAGACAAGGAUGCCCAUUUUUAUCACUGCUAUUCAAUAUAGUACUGGAAAUCCUAGCCAGAGCAAUCAGACAAGAGAAAGAAAUAAAGGGCAUCCAAAUUGGUAAAGAGGAAGUCAAACCAUUGCUGUUUGCCGAUGAUAUGAUUGUAUAUCUAGAAAACCCUAAAGAUUCAUCCAAAAAGCUCCUAAACCUGAUAAAUGAAUUCAGUAAAGUUUCAGGAUAUAAAAUCAAUGUACACAAAUAAGUAGCACUGCUAUACACCAGCAGUGACCAACCUGAGAAUCAAAUCAAGAACUCAACCCUUUUAACAACAGCUGUAAAAAAUAAUAUAAAAUACGUAGAAAUAUACCUAACCAAGAAUGUGAAAGAUCUCUACAAGGAAAACUACAAAAUACUGCUGAAAUAAGUCAUAGAUGACACAAACAAAUGGGAACACAUCUCAUGCUCAUGGAUGGGUAGAAUCAAUAUUGUGAAAAUGACCAUACAGUCAAAAGCAAUCUACAAAUUCAGUGCAAUUCCUGUCAAAAUACCAUCAUUAUUUUUCACAGAACUAUAAAAAUAAAAUCCUAAAAUUAAUAUGGAACCAAAAAAGAGCCCACAUAGCCAAAGCGAGACUAAGUGAGAAGAACAAAUCUGGAGGCAUCACAUUACCUGACUUCAAACUAUACUACAAGGCUAUAGUUACCAAAACAGCAUGGUACUGGUAUAAAAAUAGGCGUGUACAUCAAUGCAACAGAAUAGAGUACCCAGAAAUAAAGCCAAAUAUUUAAAGCCAACUGAUCUUCGACAAAGCAAACAAAAACAUAAAGUGGAGAAGGACACCCUGUUCAACAAAGGCUGCACCCUAACCACAAAUGGUCAAAUGGUGCUGGGAUUGUUGGCAAGUCACAUGUAGAAGAAUGAAACUUAAUCCUCAUGUCUCACCCUAUACAAAAAUCAACUCAAAAUGGAUCAAAGACUUGAAUCUAAGACCUGAAACCAUAAAAAUUCUAGAAUAUAAUAUUGGAAAAACUCUUCUAGACAUUGGCUAAGGUAGAGUUAAUGACUAAGAACCCAAAAGCAAAUACAACAAAAACAAAAAUAAAUAGAUGAGACCGAAUUAAACUAAAAAGCUUCCGCAGAGAGAAAAAAAAAUCAGCAGACUUGGCUGGGCAUGGUGGCUCACGCCUAUAAUCUCAGCACUUUGGGAGGCCAAGGUGGGUGGAUCACCUAAGGUUAGGAGUUCGAGACCAGCCUGGCCAACAUGGCGAAACCCCAUCUCUACUAAAAAUACAAAAAUUAUCUGAGCAUGGUGGUGCAUGCCUGUAAUCCCAGCUACUUGAGACGCUGAGGCAGGAGAAUCACUUGAACCUGGGAGACAGAGGUUGCAGUUAGCCGAGAUCGCAUCACUGCACUCCAGCCUGGGCGACAGAGCGAGACCCUGUCUCAAAAAUAAAAUAAAAUAAAAUAAAAUAAGGCCAGGCAUGGUGGCUCAUGCCUGUAAUCCCAGCACUUUGGGAGGCCAAGGUGGGUGGAUCACAAGGUCAGGAGAUUGAGACCAUCCUGGCUAACAUGGUGAAACCCCAUCUCUACUAAAAAAUACAAAAAAUUAGCCGGGUGUGGUGGCAGGCGCCUGUAGUCCCAGCUACUCGGGAGGCUGAGGCAGGAGAAUGGCAUGAACCCUGGAGGCAGAGCUUGCAGUGAGCUGAGAUCACGCCACUGCACUCCAGCCUGAGCGAGAGUGCAAGACUCUGUCUCAAAAAAAAUAAACAUAAAAAUAAAAUAAAAUAAAAAUAAUCAGCAGAGUAAACAGAGAACCCCCAGAGUGGGAGAAAAUUUUCACAGACUAUUCAUCCAACAAAGGACUAAUACCCAGAAUCUACCAGGAACUCAAACAAAUCAGCAAAAAAAAAAAAUCCCAUCAAAAAGUGGGCUAAGGACAUGAAUACACAAUUCUCAAAAGAAGAUAUACAAAUGUCCAACAAACAUGAAAAAAAUGCUCAACAUCACUAAUUAUCAGGGAAAUGCAAAUCAAAACCACAAUGCAAUACCACCUUACUCCUGCAAGAAUGGCCAUAAUUUAAAUAUCAAAAUAUAAUAGAUGUUGAUGUGGAUGUGGUGAAAAAGGAACACUUUCACACUGCUGGUGGGAAUGUAGUACAAACACUAUGGAAAACAGUAUGGAGAAUCCUUUGAGAACUAAAAGUAGAAUUACCAUUUGAUGCAGCAGUCCCACUAAUGGGUAUCUACCCAAAGGAAAAGAAGUCAUUGUAUGAAACAGACUUACACACAUAUGUGCAUAGCAAUACAAUUUGCAAUUGCAAAAAUAAGGAACCAGCCUAACCCUGAUUUCCAGUGGAAAUCCUAGGAAGUUAUGAUGUUAGUUCUGGGCUUGUAAAAGAAAAACAACAGCAAACAAACAAACAAAAAAGAAAAACCUUGGAAGCAAGUAAUUUGAGAUGGUUUAUGUCAGUUUUUGUGAUGAAAACUAUUUUCUAAUGUUUAGAAAGAUGUUUCCACAAUUUUUUGUUUCUUAACAGAACUAAAUAUUUAGCUUUUCUGUAUCAUAUAGAUGACUCAGACAUUUUAUGAUUAGCUAUUACCCAGGUUGACAUAACAUGACUCUAAGUUAUUGAAAAAGAUUUUUUAAACAAUGUAAAGCUCAUUUAUAAACUUUUAUUUAUUCUCUUUUGCAAGUAAACCUUAUGGUAAAUAAUAAAAAACAUAAAAAAGUAAAUAAAGUUUUAUUUAUUCUUAGGAAGUAUGCUUGAGUAGCUCAUUAAACAAAGUUAGCUACUGAAACUGUCUUUGCAGGGCUGAGCAGUGGCUCACGCCUGUAAUCCCAGCUCUUUAGGAGGCCCAGGCAGGUGCAUUACCUGAGGUCAGGAGUUAGAGACCAGCCUGGCCAACAUGGUAAAACUCUUUCUCUACUAAAAAUAUAAAAAAUUAGCCAGGUGUGGUGGUGGGUGCCUGUAAUCCCAGCUACUUGGGAGGCUGAGGCAGGAGAACCACUUGAACCCAGGAGGUGGAGGUUGCAGUGAGCUGAGAUCACAUCAUUGCACUCCAGCCUGGGCAACAAGAGCAAGACUCCAUCUCAAAAAAAAAAAAAAAAGAAAAGAAAAGAAAAAAAGAAACUGCCUUCGCAAAAUUAUAACUGAGACAGUGAAAGAAAUCUAACUUAACUGACCAUCUUGCCUCUAGCAUAUAAGCUGUCUUUGUUCAUUCCAUCUUGCCUAGGGACUAGAUUGUCUUUGUAGGACUAACAUUUGACACAAGAUUAGAAAUUAUGAUUUAGGAGUCAUGCAGCUGGAGGCUAAAAGAUUAUGACCCUCCCUAAAUUUCUCUCAAGAUCAGUGCUUGAGAUAUUUUGCAGACCCUGCACUUGAUGGAUCAGCUGGCUCCACCCAGAUUGAUAAACUGGCUCAUCUGAUCUUGUAGCCCCUGCCCAUGAACUGACUCACUGCAAGAAGACAGCUUCAACUCCCUAUGAUUUCAUCUCUGACCUGACCAAUCAGCACUCCUGGCUCACUGGGUUCUCCCCACCCACUAGGUUGUCCUUAAAAAUUCUGCUCCCAAAAUGCUCGGGGAGACUGAUUUGAGUAAUAAAACUCUGGUUUCUGCACAGCUGGCUCUGUGUGAAUUACUCCUUCUCUAUUGCAAUUCCCCUGUCUUGAGAAAUCAGCUCUGUCUAGGCAGUGGGCAAGGUGAACCCAUUGGGUGCUUACACCAUCAUCUUCAGUUUUUUCUUUGUAAUCAUGUUUACAUUCCACAAAUGUUAGGAACUUAACACUUUAGCCAGAACUCUAAAGUUAAAUACACGGGUAUUUUGUUAAUCAGAGGACACGGUUGUUUUCAGUAAAUCAACAGUAUUAAACUAGUCUUAUUUACCAACAAUUUACACAAAUCAUUUGAACUAAAAGGCAUUUGAGUUAGCUUAUAUUUUUCUCAUAAAAUAUAUAAUUUAAGUGCUUACUUUUUCUUUAACCCAAUUAAUUAGAGUUUUCGUGUAUUUUGGUAAUGAAAUAUCACAUCCACAUGGCAUAUAUGAACAUAUAUACAUACAGACAUACAAACAAAAGCAGAGUCUGUAGCUUGAUAAACUUCUUCAUUUGUCAGGGGGUUUUUUUGUUUUGGUUUUGGUUUUGGUUUUCUUUUUCUUUUUUUUUUUUUUUGAGAUGGAGUCUUGCUCUGUUGCCCAGGCUAGAGUGCAGUGGUGUGAUCUAAGCUCACUGCAACACCCACUUCCUGGGUUCAAGCGAUUCUCCUGCCUCAGCCUCCCGAGUAGCUGGGAUUACAGGCGCCUGCCACUGUGCCUGGCUAAUUUUUGUAUUUUUAGUAGAGAUGGGGUUUUGCCAUGUUGGCCAGGGUGGUCUCAAACUCCUAACCUCAUGAUCCGCCCACCUUGGCCUCCCAAAGUGCUGGGAUUACAGGCGUGAGCCACCGCACCCAGAAACCAUUUGCCAGUUUUUAAAUAGUUUCUCUCCCCUCUUUAGACUAUGGAGCCCUAAACAACUGUUAGCAACAUAACCCUUAAUUUGCACUUCCAAAGACAUGACUCUUAAGUGAAAAUUUACAUCCCAAAGGCACAGCACUUAGAUCUAAGCACCAUUCUCUGCUGAGAUGAAGAAGGAUAUGGGUAAAGAUUCAGUCGAAGUGAGAUUGCCAGGAAAAGUAUCUUAAACAAAGGCAGGGAUUGUUAUGUAAACUUUAAACCAAUGUCUUCCCCAUCUUAAGAGUUUUGUGGGUUUUUUGUUUGUUUUUUUUUAGACAAGGUGUCAUUCUGUUACCUGGACUGGGGUGCAAUGGUGCAAUUUUGGCUCGCUGCAGUCUCCACUUCCCUAAGGCCACAAGAUUUGAAGUUAGGAUAAUACAUGUUACACUGUUAACUUUUAGCAAACUUUACUUUUGUUGAAAACCAUGUAAGUUUGGGAUUUUUAAUUAUCCUUUGCUAUUACUAAGACCUCUUUAGUCCAAAUCAACUUGGAAUUAGUAUAGAUGGUUCCUUCCUGGUUCUGUAAGUACUUUAAGGCUUGGCUGAGUGCAGAGCUCACACGUUUGAGCAGACUGAUUAUUAGGCAAUUUUCCUAACUCUAUUUCUACGAGAGUUUCCCUAUCAAUUACUGAAUACUCGUUGUGUCUUUUUCCCUCAAUCAGCCAGGAGAAACCAUCCAUCAUCCUGUCCUGAAGGGAGUUCCUCCUAGGUCUGGUCGGACCUUUGUAUGGUAGUUAAUUAAGAUUUAGAUCCCCUGUUAGGAAACCUGCAGGGUUAAGGGAAUUAUCAGUGGUUAAUGUUAAAUCAUAUUUUUCUAACAGAAUGGCCUCAUAUGUUAAUAUUCUUAAGUCAGUAAGCUGCCUUUUUGCUUUUUUGACUUAGGAUAGUUCUGACCUGGUGAGGUGUGCUCACAAUGAGGUUUCCUCUAAAAGUUAUUUUUGUACUUUCUUCAGUUAGCAAAGCAGUUGCUGCUACAGAUUGAAUGCAUUUGGGCCAUCCCCGGGUUACUGGGUUAAGGAUUUUUGAUAGGAAGGCUACUGGUUGUCAGUGGCCUCCGUGCUUUUGGGAUAUGCCCUUGUUUACACUGACAACAAGAUGGAAUAGCUACUUGAGGGUAAAUCUAGGACAGGGGCAGUUACUAAUAGAUGUUUUAACCUUUCCACCUGUUGGAUUUCUGGUAAUUGCCAAAUGAGGAGGGGGUUUUGCCCAUCUUGCGUGAGCUUUUUGUAUAAGGGUUUUGUUUUUAGGGCAUAAGAGGCUAUCCAUAGAUGACAGUAUCUGACUUAUCUUAAAGUUUUCUAAGUUCUUGUUUGGUCUCCGGCAGAGGCAAGGAUAUGAUACUUUCAGUCCAUUCAAGCUCAAUUUGCCAUUUACCUUUGCUAAUUAAAUGACUUGUUCUAAUAUUUGACUAAAUAAAUUUGAAGACUUCGUAAACCCUUGAGGUAAGACUGUCUAUCUGUAUUGCUAUUUUCAAUCAGAGUGAGGGUCUUCUCACUCAAAGGCAAAUAGGUCCUGGCUGUCUUCCGUGAACGGACAAACCCAGAAGGCAUCUUUUAAAUCUAUUACCAUAACAACAGGGUGGGUAGUUUGGACUUGAUUAAUAGCUCUAAGGUCUUGCACUAACUGGUGUGACCCGUCUGGCUUCUUUACAGGCAGUAUUGGAGUUUUAUAGGGUCACGGAGAAGACUUUCAAUUAUAGGUUUUACAUUUACCCUGGCUUUUAAAGGAAUAGGGUACAUUGCUUUCUCUUUACUACUUCUAGCUCUCUCUCUCUCUCUCUCUCUCUCUCUGACUCUCUGUCUCUUUCUCUCUCUGACUCUCUUAAGUUUUUUUUUUUUUAUCCUUCUAAUAUUUUAACAUUAGUCCUGGGGGAUUAUUGGGGGAAUAUUAUUGUUGCUAGCUUUAUUUCUUUUAUCCUGUACCUUACUUGGGGUAUUUCCCAUUUUUGGGGUGAGGCUCAAUUUCCCUUACCAGAAAUAUCUCACCUUUUGGAGGGAGGCUCAAUUUCCCUUACUGGCAAUGUCUCACCUUUUGGGGUGAGGCUCAAUUUCCCUCACUGGAAAUGUCUUGCCUUUUAGGGUGAGGCUCAAUUUCCCCUACUGGAAAUGUCUCACCUUUUGGGGUGAGGCUCAAUUUCCCUCACUGGAAAUGUCUCACCUUUUGGGGCGAGGCUCGAUUUCCCUUACCGGAAAUAUCUUGCCUCUUUUUAAUCCCCAAGAUACCCCGACCAAGGAAUACUUCACUGCCCCCUGUGGUUUUUCUUUCCUUAGUCCCGGCUAAGGAAUGCUUUACCACCCCUACGGCUUCUUUUUCCUUGGUAUGUCCCAACCAAGGAAUGUUUCACUGCCCCUGCAGUUUUUCUUUCCUUAGUCCCUACCACCAAAGGAAUACUUUACCAGCUCCUCCGCUGUUUCCUUCUUUGGCUUGUGCGUGAUGUUGUCUGGUCCACGUGGUAUGUAAGGAUCCUUUACCCCAGGUCACCGGCCAGUUUCUUUCCACAUUGCUGAGAGUCUGGGUUUAUUCAUCACACCAGGUAGGUCUCGGUUCCUCACCCCUGAGGCUGCCGAAAUGAGGCGGCGGGGCACCUCCUUACAAGAGAGGACUGGAGACCGCCCAGAGGAGAGUGGGUCCCUGCAUGGGCCACCAAACUGUUAGAAAUGCAAAAUGCUUGUUCCCUGGUGCUGCAAAGAAAUAGCACUCAAACAUACAUUUAAUUUUCUCAGCAAGGCAAUUUUUACUUUCUGCAGAAAGGGUGCUCCUCACAGAUGGAACAAUGGUGAGAUCAUACCAGGACAGGGGAGGGGCAGGAGUUCUUAUUCCUGACGCUAGUAGCCCCUACUGCUGUGUUGUUGCCCUAAUGGCUAGGAUUGGACCGCACAGUCUAAGCUAAUUCUGAUUGGCUAUGUUAAAAAGAGCAGGAGUAUGAGCUGGAGUGGUGAGGUGAGUAGUUUGGUGGGAAGGGCAGUUAGGAACAGGUAACUAAAGGUGACUUAGGUCAGAGCAGGUGACCACCAAGGGAACAGCUGUGAACUACUGAUUUGGACUGGCGGGAAAGUUGUUUACUGAAACUAGAGGCAAGGAGUUGAAGAGAACUAGGAAGUUAAACUUUAAAAUGAAGAAUCAAAGAAUAAGAGAGCUGGACAUACUGACAUACUGAUUCUUUGAAGAGAAACUUAGGGUUCACUAUAUUUAACAGGAGGCCGAGACAGGAGGAUCGCGUGAGCCCAGGAGUUUGAGACCAGCAUGGGCAAAAUAGUAAAACCCCAUCUUAUUAAAAAAAAUUUUUUUUUUUGAAAUGGGGUCUCUCUCUGUUGCCUGGGCUGGAGUGCAUUGGUGCUAUCUCCACUCCCUCAACCUCUCAGCCAAUCCUCCCACCUCAGCUUCAUGAGUAGCUGGGACUACAGGCGUGCACCACCCUGCCCAGCUAAUUUUCGUAUUUUUUUGUAGAGACAGGUUUUCAUCAUGUUGCCCAGCCUGGUCUCGAACUCCUGAGCUCAGGCAAUCCUCUCACCUCGGCCUCCCAAAGUGCUGGGAUUACAGGCAUGAGCCACCACACCCGACCUUAAAAAAAAUUUUUUUUAAUAUGUGGAAAGCAGACACGAGUAGAAGCCAGCACAACUAGCUAACUUCCCCUAGUGAUAGAGGCAGGAGACAGGCAAAUGCCAUCUAUGUCAUUAUAUAUAGGGAGCUUGCCUAAACAUGCCCACAGUGGAAAAUUCCAUCCCUUAACACAUGCACAGUAAGAGAAAUAAAUCAAUGCAGAGUGGCCAUUUCCUUUAUUGCCUUCUGAACAUUUACCUUUCUAGUGUCCUUUCUUUUUGCAUCUCGCACAUUAAUCUCUAGCCUCAUCCGGCUCUUGAAUCCUUGCCUAACUUGACUUCUUUCACAUCUACAUCCACAUCCAUGUCCUCUCACGGUGCUAAUUUUUCUUUUUAUGAGAGCUGUUGCUAACAGAUUGGCUUUUUUUUCUUAAGUCUUUAAUUUACUUUUUUUUUUUUUUUUUUUUUUUUCUGAGUUCUCCUGCUCCUACGGCCAGCUGGCGGGGCUGGGCAACGGCACGGGCCUUGCCCCCGCGCACUGCUGUCUGUCUCUCCUGUUUUCUUCUGAUUCUCUUUUUCACACUUACUCUUAGUGUUUCUUUUUCCUUUGCUCUUUCCCAGUUUUGUUCCUUGGUCACAGUUAACAUACACCUUGGUGGCCACUUUUAUAGACUAGGUGGUAUUCAUGCCUGCAGCUUCUGCUUGAUGUUACCCUGGGCUUGCUUUACAAAUAAAAUAUUCAGUGCAUACUGAUUUUCAGCAGCCUCAGGGUUAAGUGGGGUAUAAAGCCAGAAUGCUUUAUAGAGUCUCUUAUAAAACUGACUUAGGCUCUUGUCAGCUCCUUGAAGGAUUUCUGAAAUCUUUUUUAUAUUACUUGCUUUUUUCUACCAACUUUUAGACUCUGCAGAAGUGCUUCUCAGUACCUCUGCAAAUGCUGAAGCUGAAUUGCAUUCUCUGGGUCUUUUUUUCCCUUUUUUCUAGAGUUUAACAGGCUCUUUUCUUUAUACAAUUUUUUAUGCACUUGGAGGGUUAAACAGGCAUACCCAGAGUCAGUGUAAAUGUUUACAAGUCUUACCUUCACUGAGUUCUAAGGCCCGAAUUAAAGCAAUGAGCUCAGCUUAACAACAGUGUCCAGGGUUACCACCGCAUAUUCUGCACCUCUCUCUCCUUGGGGGUUGAUGAAGCUGUUCCCGUCCACGUAUAGCUCCCAGUCUAUUGAUGCCCAAGGCUGGUCCUGGAGGUUAGGUCUGCUAGAGUAAAUUUGAGUCCAACACCUCUACACAGUUAUGCUCGACAGGGCUUUAGCUGCCGGGAGCAAGGUGGUGGGUUCAGGGUGUUUCCAGUUUAGUAGAUCAAUGGUUGAAAAGGGCUGAUAGAUGAAAGUCUGUUGUCCCCCCCAACCCCCCGGAUGUGGGCCUGGUCAUUAUAAUAGACAGGUCCUCGUGUCUCCCUGAGAGGCAUUUGCAUAGCCUCUCAGAUCUGAGAUGGCCCACUUGACUAUCUUGAUUUCCUUCCUUGGUCUCUCGAAGCUCCGAUCCUCCCCUUCAAGGUAAAACCUGGAGCGUGUUAGCUCCUGAAUCUCAUUUCUGAGGGGGUUGUUGGCCUCAGUAAAGCGGGGUAGGCUGGGAUAUAUGGAGAAAGAAUUUCUGUUAUCUCUGGCGGCUCCCGCAAAACUGGCUUCUCUUGCUGUUUCUGGGACUCCCUUUUUAACUCUGUCUGCCGGCGAAGCUGCUCUUUUACUUUUGGCUUUUUUGCAAUAAGCUGUUCAACAGGGCUAAAUUUAUGCUGGUUUUGCCUAUAUUAUAUUUAACCAUGAGUCAAUAUAAAGGAAUUUGAUCUAGGUACACUGGCUGCCCUCUGACCCCUGUCACCACCUUAAAUACAUGGCCAAUAGUUCCCUGUCUAUAGUUCCUUCGGUGGGCCAUCUAACACCAAAAGAGGGCAAUUCUAAUUCACACAGAGUUCUUAACCUCUAGGGGGUUAACUUAACUCUAUAAUCUCCCACAGAACCUUUCCUAAGGUUCUGUAACAUGCAUUUUAAUAGAGUAAGUUUUGAUGCUUUGAUGACUUUCCUUUUAUUUUUCUUUUUGAAAUUUUUUAACAUAGUUCCUAGCGGAGUGGGCUUACUUUGUGUCUGACCUAUUUUUCUCUUGAAACAAAAAAAAUUCACACUACAAGAAGGAAAGGGUAAAAGGUCACUCACUCGUCUAAUUCACACUAAAUCAAAAUCAAAACUAAAACCAAAGUGUUGUUAAAGGCACACCUGUUCGUCAAGCAAUUUAUGCCAAGUCAAAAUCAGAACCAAAACCAAAGUACCAAUAAAGGCAUGCCUGUUUAUCAAGCAAUUCAAGUCAAGUCAAAAUCAAGGUUAAAACCAAAGUAUCAAGCAAUUCAAGUCAAGUCAAAAACAAAAACCAAAGUGCCAGUACAGACACGCUGUGGGUGAUCAGGCCACGCUUCCACUCAAACGGAGUGGGCAAGUUCCAAAGACCAGUCUUACCAAGUUUCAGAUGUCCGGACUCCAAGUGCCUGUUCCUUCCCGGUGUUCAGCCACUGCGUUGAUCCUCCACCGGGGCCUGCCACGCGCUGCUCUGGCAAGGCGUUCCACUGGGGCAAAUGCCUACCCGGGAGCACUCUCAGGAUCCGCAUUGCUCAAGCCGGAGUCCCCCACAGGGAUGCUCUACAGAGCAUGCAUAAGCUGCCUAAGGGGCUACCUCGACCGUCAGUUAAUCACCUCAUUUCCCGGUCAGGGAACCAAGAAAUGUAGCAGGACGAGCCACAGACGAAACUCCUCAGACACCGAAUUAAAGAAGGAAGAGGUUUUUAUUCGGCCGGGAGCAUCAGCAGACUCAUGUCUUAAGAGCCGAGCUCUCCGAAAAAGAAAUUCUUGGCCUUUUUAAAGGCUUACAACUUUAAGGGGUCCAUGUGAAAGGGUCGUGAUAAAUCGAGCAAGCGUGGGAAAUGUGACUGGAGGCUACAUGCAUCAGCUAACAGAACAAAAAGUUUUACAGCGCUUUUUUCAUACAGUGUCUGGAAUUUACAGAUAACACAGGUAGUUUAGGUCAGGGGUUGAUGUUACUAUUAUUACUUUUUUUAACUCCUAGGGCCAGGUGGUGGUGCCAAGGUUGUCUGGCUAUUUAUCUUACUUUUGUUUUUUUCCAACUUUUUGCUUUUUAUCUCCUCCUGUCUUGUGAACUAGGCAAGGUGGGGGGAGGAGGGCAGCAGGAGUAGUAGUGGUCUCCUUCCUUAAGACUAAGGGCCAGCAUGCACACUGGAAGAAUGGGGUGGAGCCACCAGGAAUUCAUGCCUAAUGCUGGAGAGGAGCCACGCCUUUUCAACUUGCAUGUGAUGGCCUUGUAUUCAAUUUGUGAGGUGGAUACCUGCAUAUAGGACCCUCCUUUUGCUUAAUAAAUUCCGCCCUCCUCACCUUUCUUUUCUUUUUUUUGAGACUGAGUCCUGCUCUGUUGCCCAUGCAGGAGUGCAAUGGCAUGCUCUUGGCUCACUGCAAAACUCUGCCUCCCAGGUUCAAGUGAUUCUCCUGCCUCAGCCUCCUGAGUAGCUGGGACUACAGGCAUGUACCACCAUGCCUGGCUAAUUUUUUGUAUUUUUAGUAGAGAUGGGGUUUCACUAAUUUGCCCAGGCUGGUCUUAAACUCCUGACCUCAAGUAUCUGCCCACCUCAGCCUCCCAAAAUGCUGAGAUUACAAGUGUGAGCCACCGCACCUGGCACCAUCCUCACCUUUCAAUGUUUCUGCGUGCCUAAUUUUUCUGGAUUUAGCUGAACCAAGGAACAAAAAAUUCUGCAUCAUUAGUUGUGCUGGCUUCCACUUGUGCCUGCCAGUAUCCCACAUUUACAUUUAAUCUUGGGUUCCCAAAGACAGGAACCCCAUGAGACCAGGCCACACAGUGCUUCCACAGCACACCUUUCUGUAAAGACAUUCCCCUGAGGCUAGUGGGCAACCCAAUGCAAAUCAGCCCACUCUGUGAUCAGCUCAUCUUCCAUCAGAGUCUUAACCAUUGGUAGUGAAUGUUCCCACAACCUCCAGGUGUUCAAACCUGCCUUUUAAUCUAAGUGCGUAAAGAACAAAUAGCCCAUUGCAAUAAUAAUCAUUCACUACAACCCUGUCAGCCACUUUCCAGGUUUUGCCAGUGACUCGUCAGCCACUGCACACGCAAAAGUCAAGUUCUCUCUCAUAGUAAAAAGUAAUUCCUGGUACCCCAAAAGCCAAAGAUCAGGUACUACUUUUAACAGCUCUUGGCCUGGCACAGUGGCUCAUGCCUGUAAUCCCAGCACAUUGAGAGGCCGAGGCGGGCAGAUCACCUAAGGUCAGGAGUUCAAGACCAGCCUGGCCAACAUGUUGAAACCGUGUCUCUACAAAAAUACAAAAAUUAGCCGGGCAUCAUGAUGGGUGCCUGUAAUCCCAGCUACUCGGGAGGCUGAGACAGGAGAAUUGUUUGAACCCAGGAGGUGGAGGUUGCAGUGAGCCGAGAUCGCACCACUGCACUCCAGACUGGGUGACUGAGACUCCAUCUCAAAAAAAAACAACAACAAAAAACAGCUCUUAGAAUUCUUCAUUAGUUACAAUUUUGUUUCCUCCGUGGCAAUAUGAAUUGCAAUUUGUGAAUUAAAAACAUUAGAAUUUGAAAAAAUUUUGGCUGGACAUGGUAGCUUAUGCCUGUAAUCCCUAGCACUUUGGGACGCCGAGCGAGGCAGGCAGAUCACCUGAGGUCUGGAGUUCAAGACCAGCCUGACCAACAUGGUGAAACCCCUUCUCUACUAAAAAAAUACAAAAAUUAGCCCAGUGUGGUGGCGCAUGCCUGUGGUCCCAGCUACUCAGGAGGCUGAGGCAGGAGAAUCGCUUGAACCCGGGAGGCAGAGGUUGCAGUGAGCCAAGAUCAUGCCACUGUACUCCAGCCUGGGUGACAGAGUGAGACUCAGUCUCAAAAAAUAAAUAAAUAAUAAUAAAUAAAAUAAAAUAAAAUUCAAAAUUAUCUGGACAUCUGAAUUUUAUCUGACAUGCCCUUUCAUCAUAUUGCUAUAUCCUUUGUCUUUCCUCAAUUAUAUUUUAUCAAGAAGGCCUUUUCCAACCAUUUUAUUUAGUAUGGCUCCCCCACCUCCACUUCUCUCAUAAAUUGUUCUGGCCCUAGCACCAGCAUACAGCAUAGUUUCCUGUUUAUUUGCUUAGUGUCUGUCUCCUUCAGUAUAGAAUGUAAUCUUGUGGCGGUCAUGGUGGCUAACACCUGUAAUCCCAGUACUUUGGGAGGCUGAGGCACGUGGAUCAUUUGAGGUCAGGAAUUCAAUACCAGCCUGACCAAUGUGGUGAAACCCUAUCUCCACUAAAAAUACAAAAAAAUUAGUCUGGCAUGGUGGCACAAGCCUGUAGUCACAGCUACUCAGGAGACUGAUGCAGGAGAAUUGCUAGAACCCGGGAGACAGAGGUUGCAGUGAGCUGAGAUCGCACCACUGCACUCCAGCCUGGGCGACAGAGUGAGACUCCAUCUCAAAAAAAAUAAAGUAAUCUUGUGAGGGCAGGAUUUUGAUGCUAUGUUCACCACUGACUCCAAAAUGGCACAUAGCGGGCUCUCAGUAGAUAUCUAUUGAACAAAUGGAAGCAUAAAUAAACAAGCAAUGCUACACUUGCUUUCUCCAGCACCAUGGGAGCAGAUCCAGGGAGCAGACAGGGAAAGAAGGCUACAGCCCCUGCCCCCUGGUGGAGCUGGAAGAAUCAAUAAUUUUCAUUUAUUUAUUCAUCUAAUGUGCUUUGCACGCUCCCUAUCUGCCAGGAUCAGCUUGUUGCCAGGGAUACCGGGUAAACAAUCCCAUAAGGUUCCUGUGGUCUGGAGGAAGAAACAGACAUUAACGCACAAUAGGGAGAUGGUUACUUAAUUAUAGUGGUGAACUGUCAAUGAAGGAAAAGCAAAAAAAAAAAAAAGGUCUAACCUGGUAUAGGGGUCAGGGGAGACUUCCUCAAGGAAGGGAUAUGGAGUUGAGGCCUGAGGCUGAGCAUGAAUUAACUGGAGGCAGAGCUCUGUGGGUGGAGAUGUCAUUCCAAGCAGGAAGCCCGGUUAAUGCAGGUACCUUGAUAGAAGGAAGGCCAGGGUGAGGAAAAAGGCCGGGUUACAGGCAGUUACUAGGAACCUUGUGGCCUGACUUGUUGCUGAGGAGGAAGCAAUAGCCAGCUCAGAGGGCCUUGUAGUUCAGGUGAUGCCCCAUUUCUGUGUUAGUCUAUUUUUGCGUUGCUAUAAAGAAAUACCUGAGGCUGGGUAAUUUAUACAGAAAAGAGGUUUAAUUUGGCUCACAGUUUAGUAGGCGCCAGGAAGCAUGGCGCUGGCAUCUGCUCCUGGUGAAGGCUCAGGGAGCUUUCAAUCAUGGCGGAAGGUGAAGGAGGAGCAGGUGUGUCACAUGGUAAGAGUGGGACAGAGAGACAGAGACAGGGAGAGAGAGAGUGCAAGAGAGAGCAAAGGAGGGAGGAGGAGCCAGCCUUCCUUAAACAGCCAGCUCUCAUGUGAACUAACAGAGUAAGUACUCACUCAUCACCACGGGGAGGACACCAAGCCAUUCAUGAGGGAUCCGCCCCCAAGACCCAGACACCUCCCACCAGGCCCCACCUCCAACACUGGGAAUCGCAUUUCUUUUUCUUUGUUUUUUAAUUUUGUACUUUAAGUUCUGGGAUACAUGUGCAGAACAUGCAGGUUUGUUACAUAGGUAUACAUGUGCCAUGGUGGUCUGCUGCACCUAUCAACCUGUCAUCUAGGUUUUAAGCCCCACAUGCAUUAGGUAUUUGCCCUAAAGCUCUCCCUCCCCUUACUCCUCCCCCAUAGACCCUGGUGCGUGACAUUCCUGUCCCUGUGUCCAUGUGUUCUCAUUGUUCAACUCCCACUUAUGAGUGAGAACAUGUGGUGUUUGGUUUUCUGUUCCUGUGUUAGUUUGCUGAGGAUAAUGGCUUCCAGUUUCAUCCAUAUCCCUGCAAAGGACAUGAACUCAUUCUUUUUUAUGGCUGCAUAGUAUUCCAUGUUGUAUAUUUGCCACAUUUUCUUUAUUCAGUCUAUUAUUGAUGGACAUUUGAGUUGGUUCCAAGUCUUUGCUAUUGUAAAUACUGCUGCAAUAAACAUACAUGUGCAUUUGUCUUUUUUUUUGAGUCAGAGUCUCGCUCUGUCGCCCAGGCUGGAGUGCAGUGGCAAGAUCUCAGCUCACUGCAAACUCCGCCUCCCAGGUUCAAGCAAUUCUCCUGCCUCAGCCUCCCGAGUAGCUGGGAUUACAAGCGCACGCCACCAUACUCGGCUAAUUUUUUGUAUUUUUAGUAGAGAAGGGGUUUUGCCAUGUUGUCCAGGCUGGUCUCAAACUCCCAGCCUCAUGAUCUGCCUGCCUCAGCCUCCCAAAGUGCUGGGAUUACAGGUGUGAGCCACAAUGCCUAGCCAUGUGUCUUUAUAGUAGAAUGAUUUAUAUUCCUUUGAGUAUAUGCCCCAUGGGAGGGAAUCACAUUUCAACAUGAGAUUUGGAGGGGACACACAUCUGAACCACAUCACACAGCAUAUUCCCAACUCCAGCUCCCUCCUCUCCACAAGAAUGUAGGAUACCCAUCACUCCCAGGAUCAGCUUCCUUGAGCCCAAUCCUCUGUAACUCACUGAGAUGCUAUGAAGUGCCUGGUAGGUGCCACACUGUGCCACAGUCAUGCUCCAAGACAGUGUGGAGUGAGGGCCAGAGGGCCAGGAGGCAGGAUUGGUUUGGAGACAUUGCCUUUCUUCAAACCUCAGUUUCCUCUUAAAUCAAAUAAAUGAUUGCAGAAGAUAAGCUCAUAUUAAUUCCAUUUCUAGGAAAAAUCUGUGUUCCAAACAGUAGCACUGACUAAUGGAAAGUACAACUGGCUGUUUCCCUUGAACAGUGGGUUUAUUGUUGUUUUUCCAAUUAUAAAAGUAAUAAGAUUAUUUGUAAACUAUAGAACAGUAGAAAAAGUUUCUUGAAUGAGAUUUGGUUUUCAAUCAGGGCAAAUAAAGACUUUUCUGGGAUUAAGAGGGCUGUUUCUUCUCCAUUACUUUAUACGGACCCGUACUGGGGACUUGUCAGCUGUUCAAGUACAACGCACCCAGUUUUGGUUCUGUACCAGGAUUAGGCCUACAAUAUUUCAGAAUUCAUAUACAAACCCCAAUAAAGUGUUAAAGGAGAUGACUGCCCUAUAACCUAUGUUUUGCUGAAUGUUUACUAUGAGGUUUUUUUUUUACCAUCCUCAUGAGUAUGGUAUUGUAACUGAAACUCUCCAGGAAAAUUCCUCUGCUUAAAACUAAAAAUCAAGUGUAUCUCAGGAAACUCUACUGUCCCAUCUGAAAUGCCUCUGUUGUGUGUUGUCUGCAAAGGUGGAGUCUCCCUGUUUUGUUCAGGCUGGUCUCGAACUCCUGGGUUCAAGGAAAUCUCUCUCCUCACCCUCCUGUGUAGCGGGGACUGUAGGCACCUGGCUGUGGUGGAUACUAUUAAGCCAAAUUCCAGUCAGCAUCCUCUUUUCAAUGAAGUUGAAAGGAGAGAUGAUGAAACUGGCAGUGUUACUGAAUGGGAAAUAAAGGUGGGAAUACACAUUGUGAGUGAAGACACGGAAGUAACUUCUGCAAUACAACCUUGUAAGAGUCUUAAUGCUACACUCCUUUGUUUAUCAAAUGAUGUACCUUUAUCGUAAGGGAAGAACCUGGGCCAUUCCCUCUGGUGUUGAGAGGCAAUUUGGAAACUCUGCCAUUUCUUAGGACUGAGUAUUUAAUAUACUAUUUUGUGGAAAUCUGAGAGGCAGAAAUGGGAUUUAAUGAUCUCAACUGUCAUCCAUCUAAAAAACCUAAUUUGCAAUUUUAAAUAAAAUGGCAUGUUGCCUUCUACUAUUCUCUUUUUGUUUUUUGAGACGGAGUCUUGCUCUGUCACCCAGGCUGGAGUGCAGUGGCACAAUCUCAGCUCACUGCAACCACUGCCUCCUGGGUUCAAGCGAUUCUCCUGCCUCAACCUCCCGGGUAGCUGGGAUUACAGGCACACGCCACUAUUCUAGGCUAAUUUUUUUAUUUUUUGAGACGGAGUCUCGCUCUUUGCCCAGGCUGGAGUGCAGUGGUACAAUCUCAGCUCACUGCAACCUCUGCCUCCUGGGUUUAAGCGAUUCUCCUGCCUCAGCCUCCUGAGUAGUGGGAUUACAGGUGCGCACCACCACGCCUGGCUAAUUUUUGUAUUUUUAGCAGAGACGGGGUUUCACCAUGUUGGCCAGGCUGGUCUCAAACUCCUGACCUCAGGUGAUCUGCCUGCCUCAGCCUCAGCCUCCCAAAGUGCUGGCGUGAGCCACGGCUCCCAGCCUACUAUUCCCCUUUUAAAACAGGAACCAACCCUGCAUUUAAUUUUAUGAAGUCUGAUUUAUUUAUUUAUUUAUUUAUUUAUUUAUUUAUUUAGAGAUGGAAUCUCAUUCUGUCACCCAGGCUGGAGUGCGGUGGCGCAAUCUCGGCUCACUGCAACCUUUGCCUCCUGGGUUCAAGCGAUUCUCCUGCCUCAGCCUCCCGAGUAGCUGGGACUAAAGGUACCUGCCACCACGACUGGUGAAUUUUUGUAUUUUUAGUAGAGAUGGGGUUUCACGAUGCUGGUCAGGCUGUUCCACUAUGUUGGCCAGGCUGGUUUCAAACUCCUGACCUCAGGUGAUCCGCCUGCCUCGGCCUCCCAAAGUGCUGGGAUUACAGACGUGAGUCACUCUGCCCAGCCGAA
rnacentral:lncRNA from 1 species